rnacentral:rRNA from 1 species
GUUGUAUAGUCAAGUAAUUAAGUGCAUGUGGUGGAUGCCUUGGCAGUCAGAGGCGAUGAAAGACGUGAUAGCCUGCGAAAAGCUCCGGGGAGGCGGCAAAUAUCCUUUGAUCCGGAGAUGUCUGAAUGGGGGAACCCACCUACUUUAAGGUAGGUAUUGCAACAUGAAUACAUAGUGUUGCAAGGCGAACGAGGGGAAGUGAAACAUCUCAGUACCCUUAGGAAAAGAAAUCAAUUGAGAUUCCCUCAGUAGCGGCGAGCGAACGGGGAUCAGCCCAUUAAGUUAUGUGUGUUUUAGUGGAACGCUCUGGGAAGUGCGAACGUAGAGGGUGAUAUUCCCGUACACGAAAGGGCACACAUAAUGAUGACGAGUAGGGCGAGGCACGUGAAACCUUGUCUGAAUAUGGGGGGACCAUCCUCCAAGGCUAAAUACUCCUGACUGACCGAUAGUGAACCAGUACCGUGAGGGAAAGGCGAAAAGAACCCCUGUGAGGGGAGUGAAAUAGAUCCUGAAACCGCAUGCAUACAAGCAGUGGGAGCACCUUCGUGGUGUGACUGCGUACCUUUUGUAUAAUGGGUCAGCGACUUAUAUUCAGUAGCAAGGUUAACCGUAUAGGGGAGCCGUAGAGAAAUCGAGUCUUAAUAGGGCGUUUAGUUGCUGGGUAUAGACCCGAAACCAGGCGAUCUAUCCAUGAGCAGGUUGAAGGUUGGGUAACACUAACUGGAGGACCGAACCCACUGUCGUUGAAAAGCCAGGGGAUGACUUGUGGAUAGGGGUGAAAGGCUAAUCAAGCCUGGUGAUAGCUGGUUCUCCCCGAAAGCUAUUUAGGUAGCGCCUCGGACGAAUACCAUAGGGGGUAGAGCACUGUUUCGGCUAGGGGGUCAUCCCGACUUACCAAACCGAUGCAAACUCCGAAUACCUAUGAGUACUAUCCGGGAGACAGACUGCGGGUGCUAACGUCCGUAGUCAAGAGGAAAACAAUCCAGACCGCCAGCUAAGGCCCCAAAAUCAUAGUUAAGUGGGAAACGAUGUGGGAAGGCAUAGACAGCUAGGAGGUUGGCUUANNNNNNNNNNGAAGCAGCCACCCUUUAAAGAAAGCGUAAUAGCUCACUAGUCGAGUCGGCCUGCGCGGAAGAUGUAACGGGGCUAAAACUAUGUGCCGAAGCUGCGGAUGUAUACUUUGUAUACGUGGUAGGGGAGCGUUCUGUAAGCCGAUGAAGGUGUGUUGAGAAGCNAUGCUGGAGGUAUCAGAAGUGCGAAUGCUGACGUGAGUAACGACAAAACGGGUGAAAAACCCGUUCGCCGAAAGACCAAGGGUUCCAGUCCAACGUUAAUCGGGGCUGGGUGAGUCGACCCCUAAGGCGAGGCCGAAAGGCGUAGUCGAUGGGAAAAUGGUUAAUAUUCCAUUACUUCUGUGUAAUGCGAUGAGAGGACGGAGAAGGCUAAAUCAGCCUGGCGUUGGUUGUCCAGGUGAAAGGAUGUAGGCAUGUAUCUUAGGCAAAUCCGGGGUACUCUAUGCUGAGAUCUGAUAGCAAGCUGUACUUGUACAGCGAAGUGGUUGAUGCCAUGCUUCCAGGAAAAGUCUCUAAGCUUCAGUUACACAGGAAUCGUACCCGAAACCGACACAGGUGGUCAGGUCGAGUAGACCAAGGCGCUUGAGAGAACUCUGCUGAAGGAACUAGGCAAAAUGGUACCGUAACUUCGGGAGAAGGUACGCUGUUGUUGGUGAUGGAACUCGCUUCCUGAGCUGACGACAGCCGCAGAAACCAGGCCGCUGCAACUGUUUAUUAAAAACAUAGCACUCUGCAAACACGAAAGUGGACGUAUAGGGUGUGAUGCCUGCCCGGUGCUGGAAGGUUAAUUGAUGGGGUUAGCGUAAGCGAAGCUCUUGAUCGAAGCCCCAGUAAACGGCGGCCGUAACUAUAACGGUCCUAAGGUAGCGAAAUUCCUUGUCGGGUAAGUUCCGACCUGCACGAAUGGCAUAAUGAUGGCGGCGCUGUCUCCAGCAGAGGCUCAGUGAAAUCGAAAUCGCUGUGAAGAUGCAGUGUACCCGCGGCUAGACGGAAAGACCCCGUGAACCUUUACUGCAGCUUGACACUGAACUUUGACCUUACUUGUGUAGGAUAGGUGGGAGGCUUUGAAGCUGGAACGCUAGUUCCAGUGGAGCCGUCCUUGAAAUACCACCCUGGUAAUGUUGAGGUUCUAACUCUGUCCCGUGAUCCGGGACGAGGACCGUGUCUGGUGGGUAGUUUGACUGGGGCGGUCUCCUCCUAAAGAGUAACGGAGGAGUACGAAGGUGCGCUCAGCGUGGUCGGAAAUCACGCGUAGAGUAUAAAGGCAAAAGCGCGCUUAACUGCGAGACCCACAAGUCGAGCAGGUACGAAAGUAGGUCUUAGUGAUCCGGUGGUUCUGUAUGGAAGGGCCAUCGCUCAACGGAUAAAAGGUACUCUGGGGAUAACAGGCUGAUACCGCCCAAGAGUUCAUAUCGACGGCGGUGUUUGGCACCUCGAUGUCGGCUCAUCUCAUCCUGGGGCUGAAGCAGGUCCCAAGGGUAUGGCUGUUCGCCAUUUAAAGAGGUACGCGAGCUGGGUUUAGAACGUCGUGAGACAGUUCGGUCCCUAUCUACCGUGGGCGCUGGAAAUUUGAGAGGAUCUGCUCCUAGUACGAGAGGACCAGAGUGGACGAACCUCUGGUGUACCGGUUGUGACGCCAGUCGCAUCGCCGGGUAGCUAUGUUCGGAAGGGAUAACCGCUGAAAGCAUCUAAGCGGGAAGCCUACCUCAAGAUAAGAUUUCCCUAGGACUUUAUGUCCUCUAAAGAGCCGUUCGAGACUAGGACGUUGAUAGGUUGGAUGUGGAAGCAUAGUGAUAUGUGAAGCUGACCAAUACUAAUUGCUCGUGAGGCUUGACUAUACAACACCCAAGCAGUUG